AGGAUGAACGCUGGCGGCGUGCCUAACACAUGCAAGUCGAACGUCCUGUCUCGCAAGAGGCAGGGAGUGGCGGACGGGUGAGUACCACGUGGGUCAUCUACCGUGAGGUGAGGAAUACCGGCGAGAAAUCGCCGACAAGACCGCAUAGCCUCGGUGCAAGCCGAGGAAAGCUCUCUCGAGAGAGGGAGCGCCACACGAGGAGCCUGCGCCCGAUUAGCUAGCUGGUGGAGUAACGGUUCACCAGGGCGACGAUCGGUAGCUGGUCUGAGAGGACGAUCAGCCACACUGGGAUUGAGGACGGCCCAGACUCCUACGGGGGGCAGCAGUGAGGAAUUUUCGUCAAUGGGGCAACCCUGAACGAGCAACGCCGCGUGCAGGAAGAAGGUUUUCGGAUCGUAAACUGCUUUUCUCGGGGAAGAGAACGGACGGUACCCGAGGAAUCAGCCCCGGCUAACUACGUGCCAGCAGCCGC
rnacentral:rRNA from 1 species